GAUGAACGCUAGCGGCAGGCUUAACACAUGCAAGUCGAGGGGUAACAGGGAAAAGCUUGCUUUUUUGCUGACGACCGGCGCACGGGUGAGUAACGCGUAUAGAACCUACCUUUUACAGGGGAAUAGCCCAGAGAAAUUUGGAUUAAUGCCCUAUAGUAUUAUUGAGUGGCAUCAUUUAAUAAUUAAACAUUUAUGGGUAAAAGAUGGCUAUGCGUUCUAUUAGCUAGAUGGUAAGGUAACGGCUUACCAUGGCAACGAUAGAUAGGGGUCCUGAGAGGGAGAUCCCCCACACUGGUACUGAGACACGGACCAGACUCCUACGGGAGGCAGCAGUGAGGAAUAUUGGACAAUGGAGGCAACUCUGAUCCAGCCAUGCCGCGUGCAGGAAGACGGCCCUAUGGGUUGUAAACUGCUUUUAUACGGGAAGAAACCCAACUACGUGUAGUUGGCUGACGGUACCGUAAGAAUAAGCACCGGCUAACUCCGUGCCAGCAGCCGCGGUAAUACGGAGGGUGCAAGCGUUAUCCGGAAUCAUUGGGUUUAAAGGGUCCGUAGGCGGGCUAAUAAGUCAGGGGUGAAAUCCAACAGCUUAACUGUUGAACUGCCUUUGAUACUGUUAGUCUUGAAUUAUAUGGAAGUAGAUAGAAUGUGUAGUGUAGCGGUGAAAUGCUUAGAGAUUACACAGAAUACCGAUUGCGAAGGCAGUCUACUACGUA
rnacentral:rRNA from 1 species